rnacentral:sRNA from 1 species
CCCUAGCCCCGAUAGCAGUGGAAAUCCUUUUGUGCCGGGUUUCGGCACAAAAGAUUGAAACGAAUAGCCGGAAAAGCU